AUUGGGGAAAAAUCCACAUAAUUUCCAUUAAAAUCUAUCAUUUGUGGAUAUUUCUGCGUAUUAGGUUUCUUUCUUGAAUCAUUACUACAAUCUACUGCAAUGCAAUGAUAGUGCACCAUUGUUAAAAUCAGGUGAAUCGAUCACGACAAAAGUUGCAAAACUGGUAUUAUUUACCAACAUGCCCAAAUUCUCGCAUACUCUGGGUCUCGUGAGACUUACUUUCUUAGCCCAGAUUUUCCAUAUAUAUUUGUAUGUAAAACUUGGAUCCCCAAUUGUGGCCCCAUCCUACCCCCGGAUGUAACGAUUUUAACAAAGUUGAAUCUGCAUUGUGUCAGGAAGCUUUCAUGUAAAUUUUUAAUCUCCUGGCUUAGUGGUUCUACAGAAGAUUUUCAAAGAUAUUACCUAUAUAUUUGCAUGUAAAACUUUGAUCCCCUAUUGUAGCCCUAUUCUAAGCCCGAGGGUCAUGAUUUUAACAAACUUGAAUUUCCACUAUGUCAAGCAACUUUCAUGUAAUUUUCAGUUUUUCUGGCCCAGUGGUUCUUGAGAAGAAGAUUAAAUGACCCCACACUAUUUUUGUAUCUUUGUGAUUAUCUCCCCUUUGAAGGGGGUGUGGUCCUUCCUUCACCCAAGGAUGAUUUGUUCUAAGUUUGGUUGAAAUUGGUCCAGUGGUUCUGGAGACAUCGAAAUUAUGAAAAGUUUACAGACCGACGGACAGACAGACGACGGACAACGGGUGAUCAGAAAAGCUGACUUGAGCUUUCAGCUGACUUGAGCUUUCAGCUCAGGUGAACUAAUAAUGUAUAGCAAGAUUACGACUUUCAUCUCAUUGUUUAGCAAUAGAAUUCGGGAGAUUUAAUAAUUUUCAGAAAUCUGUUAGAAAAUGCUUACUUUGUAAGAAUUUAAUAGACGAUGAAUUUCAUUUCAUUUUACAAUGUUCUUUGUUCUCAAGUUUAAGGAAAAGAUUUACUAAGCCAUACUAUUGGGAAAAAAACCUUGUGCGCGUUUAAAUUAGUUCAAUUGUUUACUGUUAAUGUGUAACCUUGGGAAAUAUUUACACCUAGCAUUCAAAGUCCAAGAACAAAAUUUGUAAAAUUUUGUAUUAUCCGUCAUAUGUAUACUUUAUUUUCUGAUAUCAACUGUGUCAUCAAUGAUGUACAUAUGUAUGUAACUGAUGAGUUGUAUAGCUCUAAGUUAAUAAAGAAUUGAAUUGAAAGACUGAAUGUUGCCAUAUUAUUGAAAAUUAGCGUGCACAAAUCUUGAGACGUUGUGUAUGAAUUAAAGUGUCAUUCGUCAGCAAACUUUGAGUAAUUAGAAUAAUUUGAUAAACACAUUUCUAUGAACAUCGCGGUUUCAUUACCACUCAUGUCCGUGAGGAAUAUAGAAUUAAUGCGCGAGGCUCUGUGAAAUACGUCAUUCUUGAAAGCAAAAAAGACAUUUGACACGCUUCAGUGAUCUCUCAUCACCGGGAGUUUGUCGUCUCAUUUCGAAAAAAAAAACCGUUGCUUCCGUAGGAACCGUCAGAUUUGAUGCUUUAUGCAUGUAACUGCAAGGUAGGUAAAUUGCCGAACUAGAGCAUACGUGACAUGUUUCUGCUAGGAAUAAGGGAAACUGCUUAACCACGUGUUAUCUCCCAGCAAGAUGUUUUACUGUCUGUUGGUCAGUUCGUAUACCUAGUGUUGUCCACUUAAUAGAUUUUGGAAUCUUUCCUUGAUAAAAAAAAAAAAGAUACCUUUUCCGCUUAGAGAAAGAGAGGGGAGGGAUGAAGAGAGCAGAAAAAGGGAGGGAUGGGAUAUAGGAGAUAAAUGAAUUGAAAAUAGUUUCUAUAUGAUAAAUACAUAUUUACUCUCACCAAAGCCAUAUACAUGUAUAUAAAAACAUGUAUAGACUAAACCAUCUUGAUUUCCUACUAAAGAAUUUGGCCUCAUCCCUCAUUUAUAUCUAAACAAAGCAUAUGUUCAUAACAUUUGCUGUCGCGAGGGGAUGCUCCGCUUAGCGGUGAUCUUAUGCAUGAAUAGCAAGUGUCCUCUUUCAAAAAUCGAGCGAAAAGUAUUCAUGGGGACAGAAUAAAUCGAAUGAUGACAGGCUAAAACUGUUAAUUGAGGUUUAUUUAUAUAUUUUGACUACUGCAAAGGAAAACUAGUUAACUAAUUUAUUUCUACGUUGUUAAAAGAUGUAGAUUAGGGCAUACUAUAAAACCUGGCCUGGCCCCAUUGGCCUGGCCUGGCCUCAAUAAAAUCAAUCAGAUUGGUAGUAUUUCAUGUUUAUUCUAAUGUACAUAAUUACAUCAUUUUAUUUCUACAACUUUCAAAAACUAAAACCAAUAAUAAAUCAAUGAAAUUAAUCAUAAUUCUGAAACAAAAUCAAUGUGCCAAUUGUUCCAUUAGUUGUGCAAUCUAUUUUGGUGUGUACUAGUACAUACAAAAGAAAAUGAUUUGAUCAAUAAACUGAUCAAUAGAUAAUCAAUAAAAUCAAUCAGAUUGGUGGUAGUUCAUGAUUAUUUCAAAGUGCACAUUUACAAAACAACAGAAACAUAUCAUUUAUCUACUAUGACUAUGAAAAAAGUUUUGAAUUUAAAAAAAAUUUUUGCUUGAGCCCAAAAAAAUUUUUAGAAGCCAAAUUUCAGGGCAGGCCAACUUUUAAGGCCAGGCCAAAAUUUGGGAUGGAGCAUAAUAAGAGGCCAAAAUUGGGGCCAGGCCAGGCCAAUGGGACCAGACCAGGUUUUAUAGUAUGCCUAGAUUUAGUGCUGUGUAAUUUGCCUCCAGGCAGCCAAAUCUUCGAAUCGUCUGACGCGCACUGUGUUCCCCGCUGCAGCGAUAAAAGGACAUGUGUAAUCAAUCUCGCAUGAUGUGCCCGUUAUGUGACCCCCAGAAAUCAUUUCUACAAUGUACUUUCAUUUGGGAUUCACAAUACAGAAAGAUAUAUUUGAUUGACGUGAUGCACAAGUGACCUUGAUCUGCAAACCGGAAUCUUGAAUCUUCCAAUUUAGGGAUACAUGUGCUUAUACGGCUUCCAGCAAGAGUUGUUGAAAAUUAUUGAGAGAAGGUUAAAUUCUGAAUCUAAUUACCAAUCUGUUUUAAAGGUAAGUAUUUCAUGUUUUAUCUGAAAUAUUUUCGGAACAAUGGUAAUACAAGGACCAUUUUUUAAAAAAUAAGCUUGUACAUGUAUAGUAUGCUUUUAAGGGUCAUCUUUAGGUAGUUAAUAUCAUCUGAAUGUCAUGCCAAUUACAUGAAACUAUCUACACUUUUUGUGAAAUUGCAAAGUGCCGGGAUUAUAAGGCAGGUAUAUAUCCCAUUAAUUUUAUAUUCAUGAAGUUCUUUGUUUUUAUACCUGAAAAAAGGAGCUGGUAUCAUAUACGGAACCAGAAUUGAAUAUACGACUUUUUCUGUUUACAUAUACAUACAAGCUAGCAUUUAUUUCUUGUUAUUGGUCCAAAUCCGAUGAGUUUGUAGCUUAAUGUCAUUGUUUCCAUUUCACAAUUCCAUCACUCAAUGUCACAGUAAAUGAUAUAACAUAAGAUCCAGACGGGCGUAAAACCAGUUUUUGAAAACAUGAAUUUCAGAUUCAUUUUCUUACUAUUCCCAUGUUUAAUCUAGUGGUAAAACAUGGACCAAAAUCAAUAUUUGUGAUCUAAAGUAUUUUCUAUCUACAAUUAAACGACAAUUCCAGCAGUCACAAAGCACCAUUCAAUCCACAGAUUAUGUCAUACUUGUCGCCCAGAUGACGAUCCAAAUGUACAACACAACCAAAACUACAUGUCCAUAUCUAAAAAUGUCAUCGAGCAUAAAAUAAUUUACUGUGUAUAUAUAAUGCAAUGGUUACGGUUGAUUGUUGGAUCCGCUAAUGUAGAUUUGAGUUGCAAAAGUCACUGCUCUUGAAGUACGGUAUAUGCAUGUAUUUGUUUUGUUCCUCGUGAGAAUCGCGUUCUUUUCACCACUUUCAUUCAUAAUUUGUAAAGUACAUAUCAUGUUUUUAUCCUAUCACCUAAGACAUGUGAGGUCACGUGACUCAUACUUUUUAUAAAACGCCAAUAAACCUUCCUACACUAAACUGGAACAUUUUGUAAACCCAGACGACAAGUUUCAUAUUUAGAAGCAUGUGGUUAAUGUAUGUUCUCUGUUUAGUAUAUAUACAAUUACAUGUAAGAAUAUGACUUGAAUUAAGCAGACAUUGCUUCCUCCUGAAAUCUGAAGGCAUAAUGUAUUGUGUAUAGCCAUAGGAAACACAAAUCUAAAUUGUUACAGUUUUUCAGAUUCUGUUACAACGUCUGUCAGUGAGGUGACACUCAUUGUUCUGGAUUUCUUGGGAAUAGAUGAAUCUUCGGCCUCGGCUUCGUAUGGUAGUUUCGGUGGAGAAAAACUCACGUAUUGCAUUCUCUGUUCGCCAUCUGGUAGUAGAUUAAGAUUUCUUGUACGGCGAUAUUUCGUCGAUGUGUAAUACUUAGAUACACGGUGUGCAUCAACCUCAUCGGAAUUAUUUCUUUGCAUUAAACUUAUUCGGCCAUCUUUGUAAAUAUUUUCAAUGUUGAAAGCAGUUUCAUCUAUGGGAUAAACUUGUGCUUGCUGUCGUUUUCGUUUUUCAACAUACAUUUGCGUCCCCUGCAAUAU